rnacentral:rRNA from 1 species
UAGGGAAUCUUCGGCAGUGGGGGCAACCCUGACCGAGCAACGCCGCGUGAGUGAAGAAGGUUUUCGGAUCGUAAAGCUCUGUUGUAAGAGAAGAACGUGUGUGAGAGUGGAAAGUUCACACAGUGACGGUAACUUACCAGAAAGGGACGGCUAACUACGUGCCAC